CCCCAUCACCACCACCCCCAGAAUCUGUAUUCGUCGGCACCACAGAAGAAAUAGGGGUAACAGGAGUAGGAGAGAGACCCAAAGCGAUGUUACCAUCAGGAGAAUAUUUUCUGGGUCGGCCCCUUUUCUUCCUGGCAGGCUCAAUGCUGAACCCAGUAGUAGCUGCCCUAGGAGAUGAUGCAUCUGAGUAAUCAAGAUUCGGUUGUUGGACCGCAGAAGCAGAAGUUUUCUGGGUCGGCCCCUUUUCUUCCUGACAGGCUCAAUGCUGAACCCAGUAGUAGCUGCCCUAGGAGAUGAUGCAUCUGAGUAAUCAAGAUUCGGUUGUUGGACUGCAGAAGCAGAAGCAGU
rnacentral:lncRNA from 1 species